rnacentral:piRNA from 1 species
UGGGCUUUGAGUCCUGGUGCCCAGG